AAGUUUGGGGCUCGCCUAUGAUCCUAUCUAAGGCCCUAAGUCUGCUCCUCUUACUUCAUUCUCGGUUUUUACUGAUUUCUCUUUGCAAUUUCACUCCCAAUAUCUCUCUUGUGCUCAACCCAAGGUCAAUUUUAUUUGAUUUCAACUCAAUUGAAUUCUUAGAUUUUCUUGCUGUACCAAAUUGAUUAGUAUUCUGUUCAAUUAUUUCAGAGUUCCGUUAUGGAAGAGCGUGGAGAAAAUCAUGAAAGGACCAAUUUUAAUUGCAAAUUUAAAUGUCAUAGGAUUAUCAGUUAUCAUUGGAUGUUACAGAGCAUGUGCUUGAAGACGCCUUCAGCUAUUUUUAUAAAAAUAUCAUUAUCAGGUUUGUACUUUUUCAUAUUUAAGUUUUUCCUCUAAUAAUUCUGAUUCCUUUGGUAAAAACCUCUGAUGUGGAGGUGUUUAGUAAAAAUCUUCAAUGAACUGGUUUUCUUAUUUGAUUUCUUAUGCACCCCUAGUCUUUUUCAUCCUUUGGAGGUAAGGAGAAAAUAAAAAAUAGCCCACCUGUUAGCACCUGAAGGUUUUUACACCUCUAUCCUAUUUUCUAUUUUCACCACAUAGCGAAAGAGUUAUAGUUACAGAGUGAGAUUUGAAGAUUUUGGUUAUAACUAUUUGGAUUUCAUGUCUUCCUUUUCUUCUUCACGAAUGAAAGAAACUGAAUUUUCACAAUUAAUUUAAAGUGGAGCUGAAAGUUUAAAUCCAGUAUAAAGAAUUUUGGAUAAGUCCAAUAUAUUUUUGGUUCUCUUUUUCCUAUAAGGAGAAGCUCCUUGCAGUUUAACUUUAAGUUGUGUCUGAUUUGCUGAAUUUCAUGAAUUUGUAAAACCAUCACUAGGUGAAGAAGUAGUCUAUUAUUUGAUUAGAGAUAUCAUCUGAUGUCUCUGGUGAAUCUAAGUAUCUCAUUAGCCAUAUAAGCUUAUUGGAAGUUAUGUAGUAUUUGUAGCCGCUUAUGUAUGUUUCUGCACCAUACUUCUUUUUGUAAUAAUUCCCACAUAGAAAAAUAAGCCCUUAGCCACAAGUCUACUUAGAAAGAACAUUCAAACACAAACUACAACCAAUACCAGCUCAUGAUACAAGUACAUAUUCAAAAAUCAACGACAUAAAUCUUUGUAUCCUCCUUCAAUAAAAGUUAUAACUGCAUGAUACAAACAAAAAGAUAAUAACUGAAUAUGUGCUACCUAAGUGAAGAAUAUGAUGCUUAUCAUAGUUUUGUAGUGAAUUCAGGCAACUUAAAUAUUGAAAUGACAGAGGUAAAUAUACAAGGUCAGAUCUGGGGCGCCGACUAAGGAACAUAUUGCUUGGACGGAGAGAGAACACAUGUCAGUAACCGUUUAGCUUCAGGUUAAUGUGCAGUAUUAAGCUAGAUUUCCUUUUCUUAUGUGCUUAUAAGAAACUCAUGAGUAUCUAUCUUCUGUAUCGGAGAUUACUCCAGAUUAUUUGUUUUAGCUUAUGCCAUAUUUACGUCACCUUUUUGUCUGUGUGCAUCCACUAUAUAAAUAACAGAGAAAAUGUUACACUUAAAUGAUUAGUAGGUUCUUAAUAAGUUAAUAAUGUAAUCAGUUGUUGGAAGGCUUAUUAGUUUAUAACAUGGAUAGUGGUGCUUACUUCACAAAAGUAUGAUACGGUUUUUCUGCAUUGCAAUUUGAGUGUUUUACUCAGUCUAGAAUAGUCACAUUGUCUAACUUAUAAAGAUUUUCAUUGUGGUAAUUAUGUCUUUAAUUCAAUCACCACUAUCAUUUUGCAUAUAUUGCUUUGCCAAGCUUGAGCCAACUAUUUUGGCAUCUCCAUGUGAUAGGGCCAUCAAUAACUCAAUAAGGCUGAGGUUCUUUUCAGUACACAUUUUUUUUUCUUGAUCUUCACUAUAGUUAUCAUCAGAAUGUUGAUGUUGGCAGAACAACCCCAGUAAUUAAGAAAUAGUAUACAUCUCCAUAGUCCUUGCUAGAAAUGAUAAUGGAAGAGGAGUAUAAUAAUAUUUUAAUGGUUAAAGCUCUUAGUAAGGAACAAUACAGUCGGUUGACCUCACCGGCAAUCUUAUGUAGAGCAAAGCAACAGUCAAUCCUAAACGGUGAAAAUGGAGAGAGAAAAAGCAAUGGAACCGAAAAGAGUAGAUAAUAUGUGGCUUUUUAGCUUUGAAGCGGACGACAUGUUUCUUAGAUAUCGUAAAAAAGCCAACAAUACCCUCAACUAAAAAUUUAAUGAUACUAAGCUCACACGUCGAAACUCUAGCAGCUCACACGUCGAAACUUUAGCUCUUCUAUAAUAUAGAUAGAAAAUAUUCAUCCUUCUUUGAGGGUUUUCUCUCCGUGUGUGCUUUGCACAAAUUUAUCUUCAUCUGAUUUUUUAUUUCAGCAAUCCAAGAUGCAAUAAUCGGGGACAACUACAGUAUUGAAGAUCUCAGCUAAGGUAGAAUACUAUUCUUAAGCCCUUGUACUUAAAGGGUCAUUAACCCUAUCCAAUAACCACUUCAUCUGCUCGCCUAUAUAUUUGUGGCAAAAAGUUUUGAUUGGAGUGUUUUUGUUUCUUUUGUGUUCAGUAAAAUUGGUUUGAAUACCUCAUAUUUUUUAUUAAGAAUAAAUUUUUAAUGUGAAGAAAGAUAAGAUCUUUAUAACACUCUCAAAGUGAACUUUCCUAUCUGACUAUCCCAGUCUUGUGCUCGCUCCUAUUUGGAAAUUUUCAAUACACUACUAGAACUGAACUGAGAUGAAUUUAUAGUUUUUUUUGUUGAAUAGACUUAUGGACUUCACUGAGAAGACUCAAACAUGACAAAAAUGUUUAUCUGAGAUUUUGGGGAGGUUUCGGAUAAGGUUCAUCUCAUAUUUUAAAAGACCCAAUGCAAUUUUGUUGCUUUACUGUACAUAGAGACUUGAAUCGUUAUAUCUUAUUCGUCUUACGUGUUAAGAUUUAAAAGACAUUAAUGGUGCUACUACUUUCAGAAGUUCAAAAUAGAUCACACAUCGUGUAAAUAUCUGAUAUGAAACUCAAUCUCUUAUGUUAGAUUCAUAAUCAAUACGUUUGUCAGUUCUCAAUGGUUUGUGUAUCAGUCUAUUUCUGAGCUAUGAUAAACAUUUAUUUCAAGUAAAAGUGCAUUAGAUUAGAAUUCUUGAUAUCACAUAAUUACUCCACGAGCUGAACAUAUCUCAAAUGUGUGCAUUUAAGUUAACUUUGAACAUAAGAUGUCAAUAGUCAUCUUUGCUUCUUGUGAUAUGAUUUGAGCAGUCAAUAUAGCUGAACUCAAGAGGAUUGAUCUGCUUAGCUGACAAUAAGAUAUAUUUGUCAGUGAUAAAAGAUGUGUUAUGGCCGAUAAAAAACUCAUACUUCAAAUGCUGACAUACAAAAGAGAAGCAUAUUAGAUAAAAUAUGCAGUUGCUUUUACAUUGUUGGAAGAUUAAUGGUUUAAACUAUGCUUAUUGGUCAAUGGCAUUUAUCAAAAUUCUUCUACUAAAUUGAGUCGGACUUAUAUAAUUUCUAUAUUAGCUAUCUUGAUUAAUUAUAGUUUGAUUCUUCUGCAGAGUUGAAGAGGGAGAUGACCCAAGAUAUGCUGGUUAAGAAAUUGAAAAAUGUCUAAUGAAAUAAUUGCACAUGUCUGAUUUAGGUAGAACUCACUUUAUUCAUCUAUAUAUUAUGGAUUUAACUUUUUUUGAUUCCUGAUGACAAAUAGAAAGGAGCAGGCAUUUUCACUGGUGCAAAAUCCUUGCAACUGUAUGCCUGCUAAUUGGAUUAUGUAAUGAUGUUCAUUAAUGGUAUAAACUGAUGUAUACCUUGUCUGACAUUUAACUUGAUAAUUAAUUACAUGAAUAGAUUUUUAUUAUUUGCAAAUUCAAUAUUGGCAAAGGCAUCAAAAAUAGUAAUUCCAACCUUCACAAGGGCCCGUGCUAGAGUACAGGCCAUCAUCAUCUAGUAAUAUCAUAUGGAAUUUUCCCUACUUCGAUCCGUUGUUGUAUAUUUUGUCUCAAUCAACAUGUAUUGGAGGGAUUGUUAAGAGAAUCGGUUCAAGCAUGUUAAGACUAUUCCUUCUUUCUUUUGGCAUGAUCUAUACGUCACAAACAAAACAAACAAAUGUGCAAUUUUCAUAAAUGACUGUAUUUGUAGAAAUAUUAGAGGUGCUAAUGUUUUGAUUCACCAUGUGUCAUAUUAUUCUAUCAUCUAUUCAUGGGUCUCAAAAUACGUAAGUUGGUCAAAUUUAUUUCAUGAUAUUAGUCAGAGGCAUAAUGGACUUAUGAUGUACUGAGAGAUUUUAUUAACAUAUUUUCACAUGCAUUUACAUAUGCAUGUUGACUCAUGACCAGAUCAGAUGACAUUAUAUACACAUAUAUGUAUGUAUAUAUAUGUAUAUGGGAUGUGGGAAAGGUUAUGGCAUUAUAUACGCACCGCCACCUAAUCAGCUGGUAUACGUUGAUAAUUUUGCCCACAGUGACCGAGGUGAUAUAAUGGGAUGCUCUUAGAGGCUUGAUGAUGUUAUGAACACAUGUACCUAUGUACGACAUGAUAUAUAUACGUACAUAUGCAUGACAUUUCAAAUAUUAAAGGAUUUGAUAGAGCUAUUUAGAUUUACAUGUCGAGUCUUUUACUCCAUGUUUCUCUCAUGUCUGUUAUCAACUGAUUUUCAUUCCUUACAUACUCGGUAUAUUAUUUGUACUAACGUCUGUUUUGCCUGGGGACGUUGCAUUUCGUGUCUGCAUGUCCCGAUAGACAGGUCAAGAGUCCUCUAAGUAGGUGAUCAGCUUAGCGGAAGAUGUUGGUGCACUCCAUUUGCUCCGGAGUUACUUGUUUGGUUAGUAUAAUUUAGAUGUGUAUUUUUUGGUAAGGCAGGACUUUGUCCCGACCUUUACGAUAUUAUGUAAUCUUAGAGGCCUAUAGACAGAUGUCAUGUAUACAGAUUAU
rnacentral:lncRNA from 1 species